rnacentral:sRNA from 1 species
UCUCCGUUGGUGAACCAGCGGAGGGAUCAUUACAGAGUUUACAACUCCCAAACCCUAUGUGAACAUACCUAUUGUUGCUUCGGCGGACCCGCCCCGGCGUCCGGACGACCUAGCGUCGCCCGCGGCCCGGACCCAGGCGGCCGCCGGAGACCACCAAACUCUUUGUAUUAUGAGAAUCUUCUGAAUUCGCCGCAAGGCAAAACAAAUGAAUCAAAACUUUCAACAACGGAUCUCUUGGUUCUGGCAUCGAUGAAGAACGCAGCGAAAUGCGAUAAGUAAUGUGAAUUGCAGAAUUCAGUGAAUCAUCGAAUCUUUGAACGCACAUUGCGCCCGCCAGCAUUCUGGCGGGCAUGCCUGUUCGAGCGUCAUUUCAACCCUCGACUUCCCUUUGGGGAAAUCGGUGUUGGGGAUCGGCAGCACUAGCCGGCCCCGAAAUGGAGUGGCGGCCCGUCCGCGGCGACCUCUGCGUAGUAACUCAACCUCGCACCGGAACCCCGACGUGGCCACGCCGUAAAACACCCAACUUUCUGAACGUUGACCUCGGAUCAGGUAGGAAUACCCGCUGAACUUAAGCAUAUCAAUAAGCGGAGGAAAAGAAACCAACAGGGAUUGCCCCAGUAACGGCGAGUGAAGCGGCAACAGCUCAAAUUUGAAAUCUGGUCCCCAGGGCCCGAGUUGUAAUUUGUAGAGGAUGCUUUUGGCAAGGUGCCUUCCGAGUUCCCUGGAACGGGACGCCAUAGAGGGUGAGAGCCCCGUCUGGUCGGAUACCGCGCCUCUGUAAAGCUCCUUCGACGAGUCGAGUAGUUUGGGAAUGCUGCUCAAAAUGGGAGGUAUAUGUCUUCUAAAGCUAAAUAUUGGCCAGAGACCGAUAGCGCACAAGUAGAGUGAUCGAAAGAUGAAAAGCACUUUGAAAAGAGGGUUAAAAAGUACGUGAAAUUGUUGAAAGGGAAGCGCCUAUGACCAGACUUGGGCCCGGUGAAUCAUCCAGCGUUCUCGCUGGUGCACUUUGCCGGGCACAGGCCAGCAUCAGUUUGGCGCGGGGGAUAAAGGCUUUGGGAAUGUGGCUCCCUCGGGAGUGUUAUAGCCCAUUGUGUAAUACCCUGCGCCGGACUGAGGUACGCGCAU